rnacentral:misc_RNA from 1 species
CCCCCUCAAUAAUUUUUUCUUGUUUGUUGGCUCUUUGAGUCAUAUGCUAGUAAGUCCAAAGCCAGACAUCUCUAAGGCUGAGGAUAACUCGAUGAACUGACGUCCACAACACCUCCAUCGACAGAAAAUGUCCAUUUCAAUGGCCUUGUUCUCUCCUCCUCUGCCUACCCAAGUCCUACGAUCCCUCUCCUUCAAACCCUGUUUCACCCAUAAACCCGCUCGCUUUCUCAGACCCGCUAUUCCUUCCCUUCUCCUCUCCCCUCCAAAAUCCUCCACUGACAAUGGUGCUGGAAUUUCAGCCUCUGUAGAAGAACUAAAAGCGGAGGAAAAGGUUGCUCAGCCUUCUGGGUCUGCACCGGGGGCCGAAGAGAGCACUUUGGGGUCCAAUGGCACGGUGGCGGAUGCUGAGGUGAAGCCGGAAAGUAAAUUUAUAGAACCUAGAUGGGUUGGAGGGACUUGGGACUUGAAGCAGUUUCAGAAAGAUGGGAAAACUGAUUGGGAUGCUGUAAUUGAUGCCGAGGUUAGGAGGAGAAAAUGGCUUGAGGGAAAUCCAGAAUCAUCCCGCAAUGAUGACCCUGUAGUUUUUGACACCUCAAUCAUUCCAUGGUGGGCAUGGAUAAAAAGAUUCCAUCUACCUGAAGCGGAACUACUUAAUGGCCGUGCUGCGAUGAUCGGAUUCUUUAUGGCUUACUUUGUGGAUAGUUUGACUGGUGUUGGUCUAGUUGAUCAAAUGAGCAACUUCUUCUGCAAGACUUUAUUGUUCGUAGCUGUGGCAGGAGUAAUUCUAAUCCGAAAGAAUGAGGAUAUAGAAACUCUAAAAAAAUUGCUGGACGAGACAACCUUUUAUGACAAGCAAUGGCAGGCAACCUGGCAAGAUGAGACCCCUAGUAGUUCCAAAACUGAGUAGCUAGAUUUUAUGAAGUUUUUAAUCGUGUAUUUGCAGAGGGCAAUAUGAUUUUAAUUUGGAUCCCACUUUAGUCAAGCUUUUCUUGAGGUUUGCACGCAUAUCAUGUUUCCUUCAUGAAUUUGAUGCUUGUGAAAUAAUUGUUGAUGACAAAUCUAGAAUCAGAUGUUGAUGUAGCUGAAUUUCCUUCAGCUUCCAUGAUAAUUGCCCUGGCCUUUUUCAUUUAAAACAAAAAAGUCGCUACUCUAACCUUCAAAGUUAGGGUAUUAGAUUAAAAGAAGGAAUUCAAAUCCAUACAAUAUAGGAUUUUACAUGACUGUCAUAUGGUUGUCAAGACUCAAGCCUGGGAAGUAGUCAGGUAAGAUUUUUUUUUUCCCUUGUAAUUUUACAUGAGAAGGUAACUAAAAUGGAGAAAGGGAGAAAGUUCCUAGCAAAUUGAGCUGCUAAUUAAAAACUUGUGAUUGCAGCUAUAUCUGCAGGGUAAUGCUCCGGACACAGGAAAAGCUGGGUUCUAUUUGGUAAUUUCUAUUUUCUGUAACUUGUACAUUCAUAAAGCUUAUUGAAACCUCUAUUUCAUUCCUUAUUUCUACCUUAAAUACCUACUUGAUUAAUCUGUCAACUGUUGUAUAACCAUGCUACGCUCUACUUCUUAAAAAAAUUUGGAAGCUACGAAGUAUUAGACUCAUUAGAGGCGAAAGAGAGAGAGAUGCAAGAACUUCAUCAAGCUUCCCAACCCCUCAGAAGAGUAGCACGAGCAACGCGAUUAAGGCCCAGAGUGAAGGCUCCCAUUUGCAGGUUGCAGUUGUAAGUCUUGCACAUUGCCUUGAUUUGUUGGAAAGAUCUCCUCAUGUACUUCUUCUGCUCACAGUUCACUUUCUCCUCAUCCCACAUGAACCCUUGAAUGUUCUGCACAGAACACAAUAUUCAAUGCAGAGUAAGCAAAAUUACUUAUUAUCAAGCCCUGGUAACUUGUUCAAGAGGAAAUAGAACUAGGAAGGGCUUUAGGGCAUAUUAUCAAUUAUUUGUCACCUGAACCCAUUCAAAGUAACUCAAGUCACACCACCGCAAUUUGCAUAGAUGCAAGGAAGAAUAACUACUCCUUUCUUAGAUAAAAUCUGCAGAAAAGACCAGUUUUACAUGUAAAUUAGCUCCCUUUCCAGAUUAAAUUGGACUAUUAAACUAUUUUACAAUAGCAAAAAGUGAAAAGAGCAAGUUUAUCAUCUGAAGCCUUAGAAUAUUACAUCAUCUGCUUCUGGAUCAGUGGGGAAUUUGCAGCUUCUACUAUGAAUUUUGCCUUCACAUUAGCAGCAUUUUCCCUAUUGAGAACUCCACCUAAUGUGCUUGGCAUCAGAACAUCACAUUCACAAACAAGCAAUUCAUUGGGAUCCAUAUCUUCUCCAACUUCAAAAUCCUUCAAGCUCUGGGUGUUCUCCCUAUGCUUCAUCAGAGCAGGGAUGUCAAGUCCACUUGGGUUUUUAACUGCACCAGUAAUGUUACCGACUGCAACUACUUUGCCCCCAUUUUCAUGAAUGAAAUUAACUGCCUAGGAGCCCACAUUUCCAAAACCCUGGGUGGCAAACUUCAUUUUAGAGAUUGACUUUCCAUAUCAGCAAGAAGAUCAUCUGUUGCAAAAACCACUCCAAGACCAGUUGCUGCCUCCGAUUGGCUUCCCGGUAACAACAGCAGGUGAGUGACCAUGGAACUGUGAAUUAUUCCUAUAUCAGGCGCAGCAACAUCCCUGUGAGCUCCAAUAAGAUCAUGGAUCUUCUGAGUAAAAACACGAGUAAGGCGCUCUAAUUCACUGGCACUCAGCUCCCUGGGGUCAGAGCCAAUGCCACCCUUAGCUCCACCGUAUGGAAUAUCUGCCACGGCUGUCUCCCAUGUCAUUAGUUGAGCCAAAGCAUUCACCUCAUCAGGAUCAAUCUCAGGGUGAUAUCUGAUACCGCCUUUCAUUGGGCCACGAGCAUUGUCAUGCUGGAUUCUAAAUCCAACAUAAGAGACCAAGCUCCCAUCAUCUUUUGGAAUAGUACACUCAACUUUGAUUUCUCUGGGAGGGAUCAAAAGGCUCUUUUCAAGCUUAGAAUCCAGACCAAGAAUGCGAGCUGCAUGGCGGAAGUUCCU